CCUUUCUCCUUCAGUUAUGACAAUCAAAUGGGACCGUCUCCAUUCCUGAAAUCACUGACCAAUACUGGAAAAAAAAAUGUGGCCUACCUACAGCUGGGGCUAUUUUAUGUGACUGGUUUCUGGCGGAUGCUUUCUUUGUUAAAUCUUUGCUUGAAUAGAUUACAAACCUCUUCAAGAUUUUCCCAUUAUAUUAAAAAAAAAAAAGCCCGACUGGUAUGUGCCUGGAUCACCUUACCUGAAAAGCCCUCUGUCAGGUAAGUUGUAAAGCAAAAAGGAAAUCAAAUAAAAGCAGCUGCCAUAAAAGGAAGAAAUAGAAGUUACAAUAGAGGUCAUGGAGCCAGCCAGGAAAAGAACAAGGCAAGAAAAACGCAGCUGCCUGGGGAAUGAAGAGAAAAGGAAAAAUGAUCGAAGGCUUGAUUGUGGUGCCGAUAUCCCAAGACUAGAACACCUCUGCUAAAAGCAAGACAUGCACUGGCUCCACAAAAGCAGCAUUCAUUGUACAAAAGACACGGCAGAUCUUCUACCCUGAGGAAUUAAAGCAGAUAUUAGGCAAAA